rnacentral:rRNA from 1 species
CCCAGUAGCGGCGAGCGAACGGGGAGGAGCCCAGAGCCUGAAUCAGUGUGUGUGUUAGUGGAAGCGUCUGGAAAGGCGCGCGAUACAGGGUGACAGCCCCGUACACAAAAAUGCACAUAUUGUGAGCUCGAUGAGUAGGGCGGGACACGUGGUAUCCUGUCUGAAUAUGGGGGGACCAUCCUCCAAGGCUAAAUACUCCUGACUGACCGAUAGUGAACCAGUACCGUGAGGGAAAGGCGAAAAGAACCCCGGCGAGGGGAGUGAAAAAGAACCUGAAACCGUGUACGUACAAGCAGUGGGAGCCUCUUAAUGGGGUGACUGCGUACCUUUUGUAUAAUGGGUCAGCGACUUAUAUUCUGUAGCAAGGUUAACCGAAUAGGGGAGCCGAAGGGAAACCGAGUCUUAACUGGGCGUUAAGUUGCAGGGUAUAGACCCGAAACCCGGUGAUCUAGCCAUGGGCAGGUUGAAGGUUGGGUAACACUAACUGGAGGACCGAACCGACUAAUGUUGAAAAAUUAGCGGAUGACUUGUGGCUGGGGGUGAAAGGCCAAUCAAACCGGGAGAUAGCUGGUUCUCCCCGAAAGCUAUUUAGGUAGCGCCUCGUGAAUUCAUCUCCGGGGGUAGAGCACUGUUUCGGCAAGGGGGUCAUCCCGACUUACCAACCCGAUGCAAACUGCGAAUACCGGAGAAUGUUAUCACGGGAGACACACGGCGGGUGCUAACGUCCGUCGUGAAGAGGGAAACAACCCAGACCGCCAGCUAAGGUCCCAAAGUCAUGGUUAAGUGGGAAACGAUGUGGGAAGGCCCAGACAGCCAGGAUGUUGGCUUAGAAGCAGCCAUCAUUUAAAGAAAGCGUAAUAGCUCACUGGUCGAGUCGGCCUGCGCGGAAGAUGUAACGGGGCUAAACCAUGCACCGAAGCUGCGGCAGCGACACUAUGUGUUGUUGGGUAGGGGAGCGUUCUGUAAGCCUGUGAAGGUGUACUGUGAGGUAUGCUGGAGGUAUCAGAAGUGCGAAUGCUGACAUAAGUAACGAUAAAGCGGGUGAAAAGCCCGCUCGCCGGAAGACCAAGGGUUCCUGUCCAACGUUAAUCGGGGCAGGGUGAGUCGACCCCUAAGGCGAGGCCGAAAGGCGUAGUCGAUGGGAAACAGGUUAAUAUUCCUGUACUUGGUGUUACUGCGAAGGGGGGACGGAGAAGGCUAUGUUGGCCGGGCGACGGUUGUCCCGGUUUAAGCGUGUAGGCUGGUUUUCCAGGCAAAUCCGGAAAAUCAAGGCUGAGGCGUGAUGACGAGGCACUACGGUGCUGAAGCGACAAAUGCCCUGCUUCCAGGAAAAGCCUCUAAGCAUCAGGUAACAUCAAAUCGUACCCCAAACCGACACAGGUGGUCAGGUAGAGAAUACCAAGGCGCUUGAGAGAACUCGGGUGAAGGAACUAGGCAAAAUGGUGCCGUAACUUCGGGAGAAGGCACGCUGAUAUGUAGGUGAAGCGACUUGCUCGUGGAGCUGAAAUCAGUCGAAGAUACCAGCUGGCUGCAACUGUUUAUUAAAAACACAGCACUGUGCAAACACGAAAGUGGACGUAUACGGUGUGACGCCUGCCCGGUGCCGGAAGGUUAAUUGAUGGGGUUAGCGGUAACGCGAAGCUCUUGAUCGAAGCCCCGGUAAACGGCGGCCGUAACUAUAACGGUCCUAAGGUAGCGAAAUUCCUUGUCGGGUAAGUUCCGACCUGCACGAAUGGCGUAAUGAUGGCCAGGCUGUCUCCACCCGAGACUCAGUGAAAUUGAACUCGCUGUGAAGAUGCAGUGUACCCGCGGCAAGACGGAAAGACCCCGUGAACCUUUACUAUAGCUUGACACUGAACAUUGAGCCUUGAUGUGUAGGAUAGGUGGGAGGCUUUGAAGUGUGGACGCCAGUCUGCAUGGAGCCGACCUUGAAAUACCACCCUUUAAUGUUUGAUGUUCUAACGUGGGCCCCUUACCGGGGUUGCGGACAGUGUCUGGUGGGUAGUUUGACUGGGGCGGUCUCCUCCUAAAGAGUAACGGAGGAGCACGAAGGUUGGCUAAUCCUGGUCGGACAUCAGGAGGUUAGUGCAAUGGCAUAAGCCAGCUUGACUGCGAGCGUGACGGCGCGAGCAGGUGCGAAAGCAGGUCAUAGUGAUCCGGUGGUUCUGAAUGGAAGGGCCAUCGCUCAACGGAUAAAAGGUACUCCGGGGAUAACAGGCUGAUACCGCCCAAGAGUUCAUAUCGACGGCGGUGUUUGGCACCUCGAUGUCGGCUCAUCACAUCCUGGGGCUGAAGUAGGUCCCAAGGGUAUGGCUGUUCGCCAUUUAAAGUGGUACGCGAGCUGGGUUUAGAACGUCGUGAGACAGUUCGGUCCCUAUCUGCCGUGGGCGCUGGAGAACUGAGGGGGGCUGCUCCUAGUACGAGAGGACCGGAGUGGACGCAUCACUGGUGUUCGGGUUGUCAUGCCAAUGGCACUGCCCGGUAGCUAAAUGCGGAAGAGAUAAGUGCUGAAAGCAUCUAAGCACGAAACUUGCCCCGAGAUGAGUUCUCCCUGACUCCUUGAGAGUCCUGAAGGAACGUUGAAGACGACGACGUUGAUAGGCCGGGUGUGUAAGCGCAGCGAUGCGUUGAGCUAACCGGUACUAAUGAACCGUGAGGCUUAACCUU